GACGAACUCUGGCGGCGUGCCUAAUACAUGCAAGUAGAACGCUGAGGACUGGUGCUUGCACUGGUCUAAGGAAUUGCGAACGGGUGAGUAACGCGUAGGUAACCUACCUCAUAGCGGGGGAGUAACUAUUGGAACGAUAGCUAAUACCGCAUGACAAUAGGGUACGACAUGUACCCUACUUUAAAAGGGGUACGAAAUAGCUUCACUAUGAGAUGGACCUGCGUUGUAUUAGCUAGUUGGUAAGGUAACGGCUUACCAAGGCGACGAUGCAUAGCCGAGUUGAGAGACUGAUCGGCCACAUUGGGACUGAGACACGGCCCAA
rnacentral:rRNA from 1 species